CCUACGGGAGGCAGCAGUGAGGAAUAUUGGUCAAUGGACGGAAGCCUGAACCAGCCAAGUAGCGUGAAGGAUGACUGCCCUAUGGGUUGUAAACUUCUUUUAUAUGGGAAUAAAACGUUCCACGUGUGGGAUUUUGUAUGUACCAUAUGAAUAAGGAACGGCUAACUCCGUGCCAGCAGCCGCGGUAAUACGGAGGAUCCGAGCGUUAUCCGGAUUUAUUGGGUUUAAAGGGAGCGUAGGUGGAUUGUUAAGUCAGUUGGGAAAGGUUGCGGCUCAACCCGAAAAUUGCAGUUGAAACUGGCAGUCUUGAGUAAAGUAGAGGUGGGCGGAAUUCGUGGUGUAGCGGUGAAAUGCUUAGAUAUUACGAAGAACUCCGAUUGCGAAGGCAGCUCACUGGACUGCAACUGACACUGAGGCUCGAAAGUGUGGGUAUCAAACAGGAUUAGAUACCCUUGUAGUC
rnacentral:rRNA from 1 species